GUUUAUGACUAUGUCAUAAGAAAGGUUUCAUAGGAGUGGAAGGUGCACAUCGAACAUUUUGCAAGGUUUGUGGAUAGAAGUUGAGUUUGAAAAAAGAGAAGAUGGGAAAUGGCCAAGAUACACAAUCUCUUUCAGAACUUCAGAGAGAAAGAGAAAAAAGAGCAGAGCAGGAAAAAGAAAUCAAAAGACUUGAAG